rnacentral:rRNA from 1 species
CUACGUGCCAGCAGCCGCGGUAAUACGUAGGGGGCAAGCGUUAUCCGGAUUUACUGGGUGUAAAGGGAGCGCAGGUGGUAUGGCAAGUCAGAAGUGAAAACCCGAGGCUCAACCACGGGAUUGCUUUUGAAACUGUUCUGCUAGAGUGCAGGAGAGGUAAGUGGAAUUCCUAGUGUAGCGGUGAAAUGCGUAGAUAUUAGGAGGAACACCGGUGGCGAAGGCGGCUUACUGGACUGUAACUGACGUUGAGGCUCGAAAGCGUGGGGAGCA